rnacentral:rRNA from 1 species
UACGUAGGUGGCAAGCGUUGUCCGGAUUUACUGGGCGUAAAGAGCGCGCAGGCGGUCGUGCAAGUCGCGUGUGAAAGCCCCCGGCUCAACUGGGGAGGGUCACGCGAUACUGCUCGACUCGAAGGCAGGAGAGGGAAGUGGAAUUCCCGGUGUAGUGGUGAAAUGCGUAGAUAUCAGGAGGAACACCGGUGGCGAAGGCGGCCCUCUGGACGGAUACUGACGCUGAGGCGCGAAAGCGUGGGGAUCAAACAGG